AUACGGAGGUAGCAAGCGUUAUUCGGAAUCACUGGGCGUAAAGGACGCGUAGGCGGGUUUGUAAGUCAGGUGUGAAAUCCUACAGCUCAACUGUAGAACUGCACUUGAAACUACAGACCUAGAGUAUGGAAGGGGCAGAUGGAAUUAGUGGUGUAGGGGUAAAAUCCGUAGAUAUCACUAGGAAUACCGAAAGCGAAGGCGAUCUGCUGGGACAUUACUGACGCUGAGGCGUGAAAGCGUGGGGAGCAAACAGGAUUAGAUACCCCAGUAGUCC
rnacentral:rRNA from 1 species